GCUAAUGUAGUAGGAUUCCCACAGCUUGUGUUCUUGUUUCCCUUAACAAAAAAUGUUGGCAUCAUUAGUAUUAUGUUGGGGAUGGAGAUUAUUUUCUUAGCAAAAUUAGCGAAACAAAGACAACUUUCUAGGCCAGUUUAGCAUUUAUGUUAACAUUGAUCAUGGCUCAAUCUAAUUGUACAGGAAACAGAGCAACUUGUAGCCUUGUUGAAACUUGAAUGUCAUAAAA
rnacentral:lncRNA from 1 species